UACGGAGGGUGCAAGCGUUAUCCGGAUUCACUGGGUUUAGAGGGUGCGUAGGCGGGCAGGUAAGUCCGUGGUGAAAUCUCUGAGCUUAACUCAGAAACUGCCAUGGAUACUAUUUGUCUUGAAUAUUGUGGAGGUAAGCGGAAUAUGUCAUGUAGCGGUGAAAUGCUUAGAUAUGACAUAGAACACCAAUUGCGAAGGCAGCUUACUACACAGUAAUUGACGCUGAGGCACGAAAGCGUGGGGAUCAAACAGG
rnacentral:rRNA from 1 species